AAUAUACUCCCUCCGUCCGAAAAAGCUUGUUCCUCAAAUGGAAUGGAUGUAUCUAGCAUCAAGUUAGUGCUAGAUACAUCUGUUUGAGGAACAAGCUUGGGACAAGCUUUUUCGGACAGAGGGAGUACGUG
rfam:Triticum aestivum genome assembly, contig: Triticum_aestivum_CS42_TGACv1_scaffold_603245_7DL